AGAAUCCCUUUUUUGGAGAGUCAGAGAGAAAAGCAAAAAAAAAGAGCAUGAGGAAUUUGAAGACUGAGAGAUGAGUUGUGUAGCACCAACAUUUUCUUUCUGCCUGACCUUCAUACCUGAUGAAUUAAAAGAGGCUGAGCUGGAAUGGCUUCUUCAUCAUUAAGGGCUGACCUAUUGGCUUGGCAUUGAAAUCAAUUUAGAACAAAUGGUCUCCAUUUCAAGUCAGCUUGAACCAUCUAAGCCCCAGAACAUGACACAGAAAAAAAGAAGCAGUAAACUGCCCCUUCUACCAAUGUCUAAGAUGAACGGGAAAAAUGCAUAUAAAUGGAAUUUUUCUUUUACGUGAUGAUACAGUGUUUUGGUGUCCCAAAGAAAUAAAAUCCAGCACUGUCCAAUUGAAGUAUAAUGCAAGCCACAUUUCUAGUAGCCAUAUUUUAAAAAGUAACAAUAAAGUGUUGAAAUUUA
rnacentral:lncRNA from 1 species